ACAGGGAUUGCCCUAGUAACGGCGAGUGGAGCGGCAACAGCUCAAAUUUGAAAUCUGGCCUUUGGUCCGAAUUGUAAUUUGUAGAGGAUGCUUUUGGUGCGGUUCUUUCCGAGUUCCCUGGAACGGGACGCCUUAGAGGGUGAGAGCCCCGUACGGUUGGAUACCUAGCCUCUGUAAAGCUCCUUCGACGAGUCGAGUAGUUUGGGAAUGCUGCUCAAAAUGGGAGGUAAAUUUCUUCUAAAGCUAAAUACCGGCCAGAGACCGAUAGCGCACAAGUAGAGUGAUCGAAAGAUGAAAAGCACUUUGGAAAGAGAGUUAAAUAGUACGUGAAAUUGUUGAAAGGGAAGCGCUUGCAAUCAGACUUGCGCUGCGUCGAUCAACCUGGGUUCUCCCUGGUGCACUCGGCGCAGCUCAGGCCAGCAUCAGUUUCGGCGGUUGGAUAAAGGCUUGGAGAACGUGAGUUGCUUCGGCGACUGUUAUAGCUCCAGGUGCAAUGCAGCCAGCUGGGACUGAGGACCGCGCUUUUCGCGAAGCUAGGAUGCUGGCGUAAUGGUUGUAAGCGACCCGU
rnacentral:rRNA from 1 species